rnacentral:lncRNA from 1 species
CGGUAACCAAAAUCCAGGAAACAGAGCACUUAACCAGAAGGGUGGUUCUGAGACUUGAGAACAAUCAGGAAGAAUCGGGACUGAGGAUUGUCAUCAGUUUCUUCGUCUGUAUAACGGGAUGAACGUCAGAACCAGCCCACGGGGCCGCCGCCAGGAGUAAUCCAGAUAAUACAAGCGAAAGUCUAGAACUGAGCUGGAGGGUGGAGCCCGGAGCAGGAUGGAAUGCUGCACGUCCUGCACAGAGUGAAGAGGGCCCAUGGCUUCCUUUUUGCUUUCUGUUGGAGUUCUGUCAAGGCCGUCUGAGAUGCGUUAGCUUCUGUUGUGGUGGAGGUCACGGCUCUCCACGCUGUGUGCAGGACUCAGCGAUGACACUGUUUCCACCUCUUCAGAAUGACUCACCAGCUACAGUCCUUCGGAGCACGCUGCCACAAGCAAACCUCAGGUCUUUUUCCAGAGCGCGCCACUGGGCUCUCCACGUCUGGCCAGCAAAAGGGGAAAAGCCAGUUUGAAGACCUCCUGGGGCUUCAGGGUCCGUGGCCAGAAGAGCUGCUCUAGAGUGCCCACCUUCCAUUGGCCAGAAGGGGUCCAAGGCGUCACACAGACGCAAACGAGCCCAGGAAGAAAAUGAAUUGGUUUGGUAAACAAUAGUCCAUUGGGACGGGGCAGCAGCCAUUCCAGGAGCUCGUGGAGCAGCCCUCUCCUGGACUGGGGAGGGGUCCCUCAGGCAGAGAGGAAGAGAGAGAAGGCAGGGGACCAAGCACUGGUUUUAAAACUUCCUGCUGGAAGUUUCACAUGCCUCUUCCACACACACUUCGCCAACCAAAGCAUGUCACAUGGCUGCUCUGGGUCUGCAGAGGGUGAGGAGGUACAUCGCACCACGUGCAAGAAGGGGACUGAGACUAUUGGGUGACCAGCGCUGAUGACAGCCCUUGUCACCCCGCAUCAUCCAAGCCUGCUUCUGAGGGCUGAGGAGUCUCCCACUUUCUGCAGCAGAGCCCUUCUCCACUCUGGAUGCCGACAGUGGUGGA